ensembl:lncRNA
CAACUUCCUUGGGCCACCUGUUCCAGUGCAUUACCACCCUCUGAGUGAAAAGCUUCCUCCUAAUAUCUAACCUCCCUUGUCUCAGUUUAAAACCAUUCCUCCUUGUUCAUUACAGCUGAAGCAAGAACCAUCAUGUGGUUGUUGUGACUGUGUACCAUGAAGACUAUGUGGAAUGUGGAUGUUGAGACUGUGUACCAUGAAGACUAUGAAAAAAGUCAUUGAAAUGCGUGUGCACAUGUAUUUUAGAAAUAAUUUUGUCACUGACUGCAUUUAGAUGUCUAUACAUAAUGUUACUCAGAUCAAUUUUAGAGCUAUUUUUAUUAUUCAGUUAUUUACCAAAUGGUUAUUUCAUGUUUAGAGUGCUUCAAGUUGAUGCUGCAUUUAUUCAAAUCAGGGUCUUUUCUAUUAUUUUUUGGACUUAUUCUUUCCUUCUUUGAACUUUUUGUAUCUUUGCUACAGUAAAUUAUUUCUUUGCAAGAUAUGGUAUAUACUCUAUAUGCAAUAGAUUCCUAAAAGCUCUAGCUGAAGAAUGUUGUGCUUGGGUUACACACUGGUAAAAUCUUUCUGCUUUAUUCAUUCAACAUAACUGUCAGAUCUGACUUUGCUUGAUAGCACGGAGCUUAAGCAGAGCAUGUUUACAAGGCUGUGUGUAUAAGAUAUGCAAAACCCUAUGCAAGAAACAUAAGUCUGAAUUUACUUGAUUUUCAUUUCUCUACUUGUGAGACCAUUACAGUAGUCAUCACUGAUGUUAAUACAGAACUAUCCAAGAGAACAAGAGGCUAAGGAUGGUAAAAAAAAUAAGGACUUUUUUCUGAAGACAAUUACUAAGUCAGAACCCUAUUCUUAAAGUUCAUGUGAUUGUCUUUCUAAUGCCUAUGCCAUGUGUCAGAAUGAGCUUUAAUAAGUUAUGAUUGUUGUGUUUUCCCUGGUAUCUUAACCUAAUAAAAAAGAAAAUUGCAUUAAAAUAUGUAUCUGACUCACUGUAAAUUACAAAUUAUUAUGUACUCAUCUUCACCCACUUUAAUUUAUCAGUUUUUGCCUUUGUUUGUAUGAUUAUUCCUGUCACAGUUAUAAAGUGUUUAUUCUUGGUAG